rnacentral:rRNA from 1 species
AGUGAACGCUGGCGGUAGGCCUAACACAUGCAAGUCGAACGGCAGCACAGUAAGAGCUUGCUCUUACGGGUGGCGAGUGGCGGACGGGUGAGGAAUACAUCGGAAUCUACUUUUUCGUGGGGGAUAACGUAGGGAAACUUACGCUAAUACCGCAUACGACCUACGGGUGAAAGCAGGGGAUCUUCGGACCUUGCGCGAUUGAAUGAGCCGAUGUCGGAUUAGCUAGUUGGCGGGGUAAAGGCCCACCAAGGCGACGAUCCGUAGCUGGUCUGAGAGGAUGAUCAGCCACACUGGAACUGAGACACGGUCCAGACUCCUACGGGAGGCAGCAGUGGGGAAUAUUGGUCAAUGGGCGCAAGCCUGAUCCAGCCAUACCGCGUGGGUGAAGAAGGCCUUCGGGUUGUAAAGCCCUUUUGUUGGGAAAGAAAAGCAGCAGGUUAAUACCCCGCUGUUCUGACGGUACCCAAAGAAUAAGCACCGGCUAACUUCGU